rnacentral:rRNA from 1 species
CGUAGGGUGCGAGCGUUAAUCGGAAUUACUGGGCGUAAAGCGUGCGCAGGCGGUUUUGUAAGACAGGCGUGAAAUCCCCGGGCUCAACCUGGGAACUGCGCUUGUGACUGCAAGGCUAGAGUACGGCAGAGGGGGUGGAAUUCCACGUGUAGCAGUGAAAUGCGUAGAGAUGUGGAGGAACACCAAUGGCGAAGGCAGCCCCCUGGGUCGAUACUGACGCUCAUGCACGAAAGCGCGGGUAGCAAACAGGAUUAGAUACCCUGGUAGUCCACGCUCUAAACGAUGUCAACUAGGUGUUGGGUGGGUAAAACCAUUUAGUACCGGAGCUAACGCGUGAAGUUGACCGCCUGGGGAGUACGGCCGCAAGGUUA